AGCUUUGUGCAGUGGCAGUAUCGUAGCCAAUGAGGUUUAUCCAAGGCGCGAUUAUUGCUAAUUGAAAAACUACUGAAAGGAAAAGUAGUACAGAGAUUGUUUCUGACCUUUCUAUUUGAGGAUCCUAGUGAAGGA